AUGCAUGGUGGUGCUGAUACUGCUGUGAUCGAUGGCUUCCUCGAUUAUUUUCUUGAAUAUCAUUUAGCACUUGUUGGGUCACAAGUGGCAGAAAACUUGAUUCAAGCUGGGUUAACAGGAGGAAAGAAAAGAGAGGAAUUGAUUAGCCCACGUUAUGGAAAACUUCAGAACUGCCUCAGGCUUAGCUGGCUAGAAGCACUGAUAACAUUGGUUUCUAAUGAAAAGAAAUGGGCAGAAGCCCUGAAUGGAUGUUUUUCCAAAGAGGACAUACAGAUGGUUUCUGGCUUCUUUUGCAGCCUCCAGCUUUAUUUCUCUCUCUCUGUUGCUUUGAGCCUCAAACUGUGUAACUUCAAACUGUCUGGCGACUGCUAGGCUGCCCCUGGUUUGCACCGUGGCCGUCGCUCUUCCCCAUUCAGCUUAGCUGGAAACAAUGAGCUUUUUUUCCCUUCAGGCAAACAGAGAUCCUGGGCCUCAGAAUCACUUGCCAGAUUCGGGACACAUGCUUAAUUUCUGAACAAAUCAUUUCUGACCAUCCCUGGAGUUGAUGGGGAAGUAAGUGAAACCCACCCGAAGCAAACGAGCAGAGGGGUGAACGCAGCUCUUCAAAGGAGACUCAGAGAACUGUUUUCAGCAGCAAAGGGACAAUGGAUGAUGAGGGGACACAGCAGAUGUCUUCCACACCUUUCUCCCGUCUUUCGUCCUGUUAUUAAUCAACCCCCUGUGCGCCUUGUCAGGGGCUCACGGCGAAGUUGCUCACCUUUCAGCAGAGGGACGUGGGCUUAAUCCUCUCCUGCAGCUCUUAGAACUCCAAUUAGGUAUGUCUACCUCUGCCUCUGUACCUCCGUCAUUUCCUUGUGUAAACACUUGUAUUGGCUCCCCUUUGCCCACAGGAUGAUUCUUGGUGUCAGCGUUCAGUGGCCCACCAGUCUGGUAUUCCGUGCUGCUUUAUACCUGGAAUACUGGUAUUUCUGUUGGUGUCAUACUGUUAAUUUAGGAAUUUUAAAAAAAAAAUCUCAAUUAUUUAUGUCUUGAUAUACCACAGACAUGCUUCAUUAAGACUUGGACUAUAUAGGUGGGGCACCUGGGUGGCUCAGUCGGUUGAGCGUCCGACUUUGGCUCAGGUCGUGAUCUCAUAGUUUGUGGGUUCGAGCCCUGCAUCAGGCUCGGUGCUGACCGCUUGCUCAGCGCCUGGAGCCUGCUUCAGAUUCUGUGUCUCCAUCUCUCUCUGCCCCUCCCCUGCUCACGCUUUGUCUCACUCUGUUUCUCAAAAACAAAUAAAUGUAAAAAAAAUUUUUUUAAAGACUUUGAC
rnacentral:lncRNA from 1 species